AGAGUUUGAUCAUGGCUCAGAACGAACGCUGGCGGCGUGCUUAACACAUGCAAGUCGCGUGCGCAGUUGCCGUAGCAAUACGGUGAUGGGCGCACGGCGCACGGGUGCGUAACACGUGGGCAAUCUGCCCUCUGAUGGGGAAUAACCCCGCGAAAGCGGGGCUAAUUCCGCAUAAAAUUCCCAUGACUUCGGUUGAGGGAUUCAAAGCAGUGAUGCGUCAGAGGAGGAGCCCGCGCCCGAUUAGCUAGUUGGUGAGGUAACGGCUCACCAAGGCAAUGAUCGGUAGCUGGUCUGAGAGGAUGAUCAGCCACACUGGAACUGAGACACGGUCCAGACUCCUACGGGAGGCAGCAGUGGGGAAUCUUGCACAAUGGGCGAAAGCCUGAUGCAGCGACGCCGCGUGGGGGAUGAAGCAUUUCGGUGUGUAAACCCCUUUCGACCGGGACGAAUGCCCGCAAGGGAGUGACGGUACCGGUAUAAGAAGCCCCGGCUAACUACGUGCCAGCAGCCGCGGUAAGACGUAGGGGGCCAGCGUUGUUCGGAAUUACUGGGUGUAAAGGGUUCGUAGGCGGUGCGGCAAGUUGGGAGUGAAAUCUCUGGGCUCAACCCAGAGGCUGCUUCCAAAACUGCUGUGCUUGAGUGUGAGAGAGGCUCGUGGAAUUGCAGGUGUAGCGGUGAAAUGCGUAGAUAUCUGCAGGAACACCCGUGGCGAAAGCGGCGAGCUGGAUCACAACUGACGCUGAGGAACGAAAGCUAGGGGAGCAAACAGGAUUAGAUACCCUAGUAGUCC
rnacentral:rRNA from 1 species